CCUACGGGAGGCAGCAGUGGGGAAUUUUGGACAAUGGGCGAAAGCCUGAUCCAGCCAUUCCGCGUGCAGGACGAAGGCCUUCGGGUUGUAAACUGCUUUUGUACGGAACGAAAAGGUUUCAGCUAAUACCUGGGACUCAUGACGGUACCGUAAGAAUAAGCACCGGCUAACUACGUGCCAGCAGCCGCGGUAAUACGUAGGGUGCGAGCGUUAAUCGGAAUUACUGGGCGUAAAGCGUGCGCAGGCGGUCUUGUAAGACAGAUGUGAAAUCCCCGGGCUCAACCUGGGAACUGCAUUUGUGACUGCAAGGCUAGAGUGCGGCAGAGGGGGAUGGAAUUCCGCGUGUAGCAGUGAAAUGCGUAGAUAUGCGGAGGAACACCGAUGGCGAAGGCAAUCCCCUGGGCCUGCACUGACGCUCAUGCACGAAAGCGUGGGGAGCAAACAGGAUUAGAUACCCUGGUAGUCCACGCCCUAAACGGUGUCAACUGGUUNUUGGGUCUUCACUGACUCAGUAACGAAGCUAACGCGUGAAGUUGACCGCCUGGGGAUACGGCCGCAAGGUUGAAACUCAAAGGAAUUGACGGCNGAGAGNGACGAGACGACGACGAGGGAGGAGG
rnacentral:rRNA from 1 species